rnacentral:lncRNA from 1 species
CUCGCAGAUGGAAUUCAAAUACCUGUCGUGUUCAAGACAGCCCCAUGGGGAUUAUAGGUGGAUGUCAGAACUAUACCCAGAUUCAGACAUGUGACACUUUCGGGCUGAAGCACUUAAGAGCCAGUGUGCCCUGUCCAUUUCUGUCUUCUGUCCUGUGGAUUUGGAAGCAUGUGUUGACAGAACAAUGUCUUAUGGUGAAGGAAGCCUAAACCCCUGAGUCAUUGGAUGGAGGAGAGCCCAUGUUGACCCAUAAAGGACUUCAUGGUCUCGCUCUGUCACCCAGGCUGGAGUGCAGGCGUGCUAUCUUGGCUCACUGCAACUUCUGCUUCCCGAGUUCAAGAGAUCCUCAUACCUCAGCCUCCUGAGUAGCCGGGACUACAGGCAUGCGCCACCACACCCAGAUAUGACUUAGAAUAUGAUUGAAUAUGAAUACAUGAUUGAAGAUAUAUUAUAAAAUUGAGAUACUUGUUGCAACACAACAGGGAAAUGAAUACAGAAGGGCUCAAAGUAUUUUAUAGAGGGUAUACGAGCAAUUUGACGUCGCAGAAAACCUGUCAGAAAGAAGCACCAUGGAAUAGAGGAAAGAGGCCCGGAAUCCAGCCCCGGGAACUGUGACAGCCUCUGGGGUGGGGACUCUCGUGGAAAGGCUAGAUGAUGGAGUCACGUGCUCCCUUCCCGUUCACUAGCUGCUGAUUGGCCAACUGCUCCUGCCAGCUGUCCCUGCACUCCAGCUUCCUACCAUAUGCUCCAGAAUAACGUCUGGAAAGUGAGCCCCAUCCAUCAAGUUUGUCACACCUUGCACUCAAUCUGCUACCUUCUCUACAGUAUUUGUCCACGUCUCUGCCCUGCUUCAAAUCCUUCAGAGGCUCCCCAUCACCCACAGGGAUGAUCUUUCUGAAAUGGAUUUGGCCAUGCCAGUCUCCUGCCUGAAACAGCCCUCCUGGCUCCUUGUCACUCAAAGGAAAAGGCAAACUCCUCAAGACUGCACAUAAUGCCCACCUUCCCAACCAGCCUCUCCUACUGCCACUCUCUCUCCUACACCCUACCUUCCAAACCCUACUUGGGGUUCACCCUCACAUGCUGGAGUUUUCCCAUCUCUGAGACUUCAUUCAGGCAGUUCCUUCUGGCUUCGGAGGCUUCUUUGUUCCUAAAGUUCAUACUUUAAGACCUAGCUGAAAUAUCAAGGCUUCCUGGACUCUGCAGGUGACACGAGCCACUGUGCUCCUGGAUGCUUCAGAACCUGUGCAGAUCUCUGUCUUCACUCCUACUAUGGCAUCUCCUAGCAUGUUCUACACUGAGCUCCACUGGGCCUUGCAUGUCAGUAUCCCGAAUUCUGAAUGAAGCUUGGAACAUGGGAGGUGCAUCCACUAACAACAUGAAGAAUGAAGACAUGUGUGAGUAAAUGAACAGUUCUCUUCUUAGUGGAAGUUGGCAAAUAGUUGUGAACUUUAAUAUGAUUCUGACAUAUUAAUAUCUUUAUUUUUAGAUAACAGAGUAGAUGGAAACCAUAUGGUAAAACCUAAAGCAAAAUCCACCCUCUAACCUUUCUGUAAGUGAAACACCCAAUUUUCUCGAAGGUGCAGUAAAAGAGCUAAAGCACAGGAGACUAAGUCAUGCAGGCCUAGCUUAGUGUUCUCCUGCCAAUGAUCUGCUGCAAAGACCACCAGGGACACAUCUGUAGUUGAACAUGUUGGGUUAUUCCUCAGCGCAGAGGGAGGAGCAAUGAGGCAUCUCUGAAAGAGGGUGUUAGAAAGAAUGUAUCACAAGAUUUGGGCUUAAGAUUGACUACCUUUGACAAAAGUAUGUCAAAAGCAAUACAUCUUACUAGUGGAGCGAAGACACUGCAUGCUGACAAAGGUGAUCUCAGAUGUGAGGUCGAUGGUGCGCCAUGCAAUCAGCUUGCUGAGUGAGCCUACUUAUGCCCCAUCCCGGGGGCCUAGGGUAAGAAAAGUGCCAAGCGAAGCUGAGGAUCAGACUAAAGCUGGAAGGUGAGUCAAAGCUUGAGUCCCUCAGCAUUACCCUGCCCAGGCAGCAACUUCAGCCUCAUGGUCUUUUAGCCCUAAAACUUAGGACUAGCUCAGUGGGAGUUUUACAUUCCUUGGCUUGACAAAUGAAAAAGGUAUUGGUAGUCAGAGGGGAAAAAGGCUAAAAUAACUCAAAGUUCUAUCUGAAUCCAUGUGGAGGGUCAGGAAAAAUGCAUGGGUUUGGGGAGCCAGAAAGACCCCAGAAAUCCUCCUAACUUCCGAUAUGAACUUAGGCGAGCAUCUCACCUAUCUGCACCCCAGUUCCUUCAUUUGUAAAGUGGAGGGAAUAACAUCUACCUCAUGGGACUGUGACAAGUUACAAGUGAGCUCGUAUAACAUGAAGUAUCUUAAAUGCUGGCAGCCUUCUUUUUCUUUAUAUUCAAACAAAAGGAAAAACAAAGCUUUCUGGCCACUUUGAGUCUGAAAGUCUGGCUGUUAGGGUAGAAAAGUCUUCUAAACACUGAAUGGAUUUGAUGAUAAUCCCUUAGGGAUUGACACUGCCGAAUGCCCUUGUUCCUGGGGUCUUGGGUGCUGAAAUCCGCUUGGUGCAUACAGAGAUGCACCACCUGAGUUUCGAGGCAACUGUGCAUGUUCUGAAGAACAUUCUAUUUCCCCGUCAAUAAUAACAACAAUGAUGGGCAUCAAUGAUCUGUUUUGCACAUGUACAUCAUCUUUUUUGGCCUUGUUAUAUAACAGAUGAUGACGCUGAAAUUGCUGACACUAAUUAUCUACCAUAAGCAGGAAGGCCUUUUCUGAGUAAGCUCCUGGUUACUGGGAGCAGGUUGCAUCUAGGACUGAUAGUCUCUGGGGAUCCUAAUGAAGUCAGCGUAUUUUAGGGAUUUCUGUCUUCUCCUUUGUUAGAUGGGAAUAGAGACAGCCUGAGGGAGAGAUGCUGCUGGAAGAUCUUAUUUGGGGAUUGGUUCCAUGCUGUAGCUGGGUGACUUUGGGCAAGUUAGAUGGUCUUAAAAUGUCAGAGCUGGAAGGACCUGUGGGAACUGUUUUACAGAAAAGGAAACCAAAGGUCAGAAAUGAAACCAUCUGCCUCAUAUCACACAGCUAAAUUGAUGUGAUGCUAUUAAAACCCAGGUGUCCUUCCUGAUUCUGUUUGAGUGUGUUUGAAUUACUUAAUCUGGGUCUAGAUUCAAAUCCUGGUGCUAUUACAUGUGAAUCUCAGGAUUUUAGCAAGUUGUUAAACUCUCUACCUUGUCUGCAAUAUUUGUGAAAUGGGAAUAAUAAAAAUACCUGAGUGUUCCUGUGAGGAUUAAAUUAGGUGAUGCUAGUAAUUUUAAAAUAUAUCUUAUUAUUAUUAGUAAGUGAAAGGUAUCAUGAUUACCUUCUGCAGUGGUUCUAGAAACAGUGAGCCUGAUCUAAUUCUGUUAGCCAAUUCUGGUAGCUGCCUGUGUUUGUAAAUAAAGUCUUAUUAGAACACAGCUACAUUCAUUCAUUUAUGUAUCAUCUUUUGCUGCUUUCCUGUGACAAUGGUAGAGUAGCUGUAAUAGAGACAGUAUGGCCCACAAGGCACACAUAUUUACAGAGAGUUUGGCAACUUCUGGUUAGAUGAUCUGUGUAUUCUACUUGCACUCACUACUCCAAUGGCUGAAACCCAUAUGGAAAUCUCCAUGUCUAGCCUUGAUUUCUCUUUUGAUCUCCAGAGGUUGUAUCCAGCAGCCUACUGGCAUCUCUACUUGGAAGUCUCAUGGGCACCUUGAGUUCAGUUGGUCCCAAAGUAAACUUGUCUUCUUUCUGCUCAAACAUGCUGCUUGUGUUCCUUAGCACAGUGACUGGCACCAUGUAGAUCCCCAUGCCAGGAACCUGGGUGUCAUCCUACCUUAUGUCCUCUUCCUCACCUCCCAUGUCUCUUCGGUCUUAACCUUCUGUUGAUUUCAGCUUUUAAACAUCUCUUGGCACUAUGCCUGAGGUCUUGGCUGACACUGCCCUUAGCUAGACCCUGGUCAUCUUCUGCCUGAUCCAGUGCCAUCACUUUCUAGCUACAGGACCUCGACAGGGAGUCUGUUCAUAAAGGUCCAAGGAAGUGGGACACUGUGCCCUCCAAAAACUUAGGUUGGACUUGUCAUUGAGUUCUGUGUCCAUAAAAUAGGUCAUUUUCUGUUGUUUUGUGGUUCUUUAUUUUAAGGGUCUGUUGUUUGGUUGUAUUUAAAAAGAGAAUGGUAAUAAUAAUCCCAAAUACAUGUACUUUACUUUCAAAGCUUAUAAAACACUUUCAUACUUAUGAUAUUAUUUGAUUCUUGGACAGCUUGGGGAGAGAGCUAUUGCAAUUAUCUGUAUUUAUCCAUAUGAAAGGAUGUAUGCUUACCUAAGGUGACCUGCUUUGGAAGUAGAAAUCAGACCUAAGGCCCCUGACUCUGUGUUUUGUUUCUUCCUUUCUUUCCUUUUCUUCCCUUCCCUCCCUACCUCCUUUUUUUUCUCUCUCUCUCUUCCUCUCUCACUCUCUUAAGAUUCGUCUUCCCAAAGCAUCUGAGGUUUCAGCUUUCUUUUCCCUUGAACACUAGAAAUCCAUCAGGUAAUAUGUUAUAUGUCUUGCAUUCCCACCACGAAGAUCAGUAUUAAAAAAUGACAGCAACUUAUUAUUUAUGGCAAUAUCUAUUGUUACUAAGGGAGGCAGACCAAACAAUUCCCCAUUGUUACAGAUGCUACUCUGACUUGACAGCUGGGAAAGUCUGAUAGGCAGUUUAUUUACUUAGCCAUUUAACCAAAUAAAUGUUUUCAUUUUUCUUUCAUCUCCUCAAAAGCUAACAUUUCGUCCUCAAAAUUGCUCCAGCAACACAUCAGUGAAGUAUAAAUUACCUGCCAUUCCCAUACCAGUCAUUAUAAUAUUAUUUUGGUUCUUUUUUGCCCUUGUUGACCCAGUCUUUCAAAGACACGUGAUUCUCCCAGAUGGGAGGGUAGGGGGAAAAAAGUGAAGUAAUUGAAGAUACUUUCCUUUAUUGCUAAAACAGCACUGCUGUUUGAGAUUGGCCCUGAAGCUUCCACCUGUGGGGAUUGAGUCCGUCUGUUUCCUCUUACUAUGGUGUGAUAUGGCUUUAGCUUAUCAACAGAUGUCAUCCCUACUUACUCAGAACUGUGCAGGUAUUUCUAAUAAAAAACAGCUGGUGAUAAUGGUUGCAAGGGUGAUAAGAGAGACAGGACUCUUGCUUUCCAACCAUAUGAAAGCAGAGGGGAAAAAAUAAAGCCAUGGACAUAACUUUCCCUGCAUGGUCUCUCUUCUCCAAAUGUUUGGAAAGGCACUAAGAAAUUGCAGUCAGUAAAUUUUCAGUUGGGUGGAUGGGGGAAUGGGAUGGAGAUGGAAAGAUUAAAUGUGUCUUGUGCUGCUGUCGAUGGAGGGACCCAGAAUGGCUCUCCCAGACGUCCCCCAUGUGUGUCAUAGUGGCUAUGUCUGCAAAGCUGGCAUCUGCCCCUUGGCACUUGAAUCUUGAUAACUGUGAAGUGGCCAGGCUAAGCUUUCAAAGGGAGAAAAUUACUUCACCGAAGAUUACAGUCCAGCCCUCCUCUGGAGCUGGGAGGUACUUAUUUUGACUUGCAUGUGAUUCUAAGACAGCCCAUUUUUUGGCAGUGAGCUGUGUGAGGCCCAAACCAGGGCCAUUCUGAUUAUGGGGUGGGGCAAGCCAGAGAGCUAAGCAGCAGGCUUUUUUCUUUUUUUCCCUUCCAAAGCUGUUGUGACACAUAUUGAAAAUUAAUUAUCUGAAGACAAAGUACAAAGCAAAACCUCCCAACCAAUGGUCUUAUACAUGAAAGCUAAAUGUAUAAAAUCCAAGAGAGUGGGGAGCGUGCAUUAAUUGGAUAUAUGUGAUGAUGAUAAUGAUGAUGAUAAUGAUGAUGGUGAUGGUGAUGAUGAGGGUAGCUAGCAUCUAUUAGGUGCUUUCUAUGUGCUAUACACAGUGCUAAGAGCUUCACAUAUAUCACUUUAUUUAGUUCACAUAAUAACCCUAUGAGGUGGACACUAUUUUUAUCCUUAUUUUUCAAAUGAAGAAAAUAAGAUAGAGAAUAAUUAUAAAAUCACAGCAGUGUCACAUAGCCAGGAAGUGGUGGAGCCAGAUGCUGAACUCAAACAAUGUUGUUCCAGAACCUAGAUAUUUUUUUUAAGCUGAAUUUUAAGCUGAUUACUCAGUGUCUGUCUCUGCGCUAGAUACUCAACAUAAACUAUCUCAGUUACCAUUAUGGAGAAUAUAAGCCCCUUC